rfam:Candidatus Spechtbacteria bacterium RIFCSPLOWO2_01_FTLL_43_12 rifcsplowo2_01_scaffold_12937, whole genome shotgun sequence.
UUUUUUAAGAGUUUGAUCCUAGCUCAGGAUGAACGCUGGCGAUGUGGAUAAGGCAUGCAAGUCGAGCGAACCCUUCGGGGUUAGCGGCAGACGGGUUAGUAACGCGUAGGGAGCUACCCCUCACUCGGGAAUAAGCCGCCGAAAGGCGGUCUAAUGCCCGAUAGCACCGAAAGGUUAAAGAUUUAUCGGUGAGGGAGGCACCUGCGUCCUAUCAGCUUGUUGGUGAGGUAAUGGCUCACCAAGGCUAUGACGGGUAGGGGAUGUGAGAGCAUGAUCCCCAACAAGGGCACUGAGACACUGGCCCUACUCCUACGGGAGGCUGCAGUCGAGAAUCUUCCGCAAUGGGCGAAAGCCUGACGGAGCGACAUCGCGUGAAGGAAGAAGGCCUUCGGGUUGUAAACUUCUUUUAUGUGGGAAGAAUCCCCCACUUGGUUUAUGAAAAGCGCUAUGCGGCAAUGCUUAGUGUAAUUAUUUUUUUCAUGGCCCAAGUGGGGGAUGACGGUACCACAGGAAUAAGGGGCUGCUAAUCACGUGCCAGCAGCAGCGGUAAUACGUGAGCCCCGAGCGUUAUCCGGAAUCAUUGGGCGUAAAGGGUCCGUAGGCGGCCAUAUUAGUCUUGUGUUAAAUUUCCAGGCUCAACCUGGAUACUGCGCGGGAAACGGUAUGGCUAGAGGGUGUGAGAGGUCAGUAGAACUCACGGUGUAGGGGUGAAAUCCGUUGAUAUCGUGGGGAAUACCAAAGGCGAAGGCAGCUGACUGGCGCAACCCUGACGUUGAGGGACGAAAGCGUGGGUAGCGAACGGGAUUAGAUACCCCGGUAGUCCACGCCGUAAAUUUUGAACACUGGCUGUCUGAAGUGUCGACCCUUCAGGUGGCGAAGCUAACGCGUUAAGUGUUCCGCCUGGGAAGUACGGCCGCAAGGCUAAAACUCAAAGGAAUAGACGGGGACUCGCACAAGCGGUGGAGCAUGUGGUUUAAUUCGACGAUAAGCGAAGAACCUUACCAGGGCUUGACAUCUAGACGAAAGCUUUCCGAAAGGAAGGCCCUCUUCGGACGGCUAGACAGGUGCUGCAUGGCUGUCGUCAGUUUGUGCCGUGAGGCGCUCUCUUAAGUGAGGUAACAAACGCAACCCCUGCUGCCUGUUAUAAGUGUCAGGCAGAACUGCCGCGCACAACGCGGAGGAAGGUGGGGAUGACGCCAAGUCAGCAUGGCCCUUUGACGCCCUGGGCGACACACGUGCUACAAUGGCCGGUACAAUGGGUAGCCAAACCGCAAGGUGGAGCUAAUCCCAUCAAAGCCGGUCUCAGUUCGGAUUGGGGUCUGCAAUUCGACCCCAUGAAGUUGGAAUCGCUAGUAAUCGCAGGUCAGCCACACUGCGGUGAAUACGUUCUCGAGUCUUGUACUCACCGCCCGUCAAGUCAGCGGAGUCGGCAGUACCUGAAGUCCCUCGCAAUUCAGUGGGGGCCCAAGGUAAGGUCGGUAACGAGGAUUAAGUCGUAACAAGGCACCGGUAGCGGAAGCUGUCGGUAGAACUAAUUUUUU